UGCGAAAAGAAACCAACGAAAAAAGAUCGAGGCCCCCUCGCACGAACCGGGAGCGAGGCCUCCUCGCGAAAAAAAAUAUCUGACGAUCCAGGCUGCCCUCGAUCGUCUCGCUACGAGGACGAGAACCAUGCCCCAGCCGCCAUAGUGGAGCCCUACGCCGCCGCCGAGAUCGGAGAGGAGCCGCCGCCGCCGAGGUUCGAGAGGAGCUGGCCACCACGACCUCCCUCCCCAGGCGGCCGCCACCACCCCCUCCCCAAGCAGCCAUGUACAGCAGGGCGGCGCCCACGCGCCUGGCCUAUGUAGGUCUCGGCCUCCCUCCUCCCUUCGUCCAAGGCCAGGAGCUCCCCCUCCCCGACCCGAUCUGGUGGAGAGAGGGCCAGGCCUUGCCACUCCGGUGGUCGCUAUGGCCAGAUCUGUCCGGGGUAGUCGCCGUAGAGCCUCUAUGGCGGCGGAGUAGCAGCAGCCCGACAGAAGGUGGGUGCCAGAUCGUCGUCCAGCAGCUCGCCGUCGGAGCUUCUCACUACAGGCGAUGGAGGCCGGUGCUACUCGGUCUAUCUAUGAUGUUUGUUUCCUGUGUUUACAUGGCAGAGUGAUUGCUGCACUGGCUUUUGGCUAUGGAUGCAAGUUGGGAACUCAUUCAGUGAUUUGAGGGUGCAGGUAGGGAUGAUGCUGCGGAUGGGAUGGGAAGAUGUGUGUGUGUGCUAGCUGCUUCACAUACGACUCAGAGAAAGAAUUGCUUUGCAGUUUCAGGUUGCCAACAUCACGAAUUUCAUACUUAUGGAGUGGAGCCACCAAACAAUUUAUGAGCCGGCAAGAAUCCAUCGAGUCUUCCUCUAUGUGUGCAACCUUGCCAGUGUGUGAAUCAAUCAAGGCAAGGGCAAGCAACCAACAUUAAGCAUGUGCGAGUCUUGCCGGGAUCUGAUCUAUCAACUCGUUCAGCCAGCUUUGCACCAUGUGCACGUCGUCCAUGCUAGAAAAGCACUUGGCAAGUGGACGGCUCCAUUGGCCAUGCGUCAACAAUUCAAAUCAUUAUCUAUACUCGAUAGACACAUACUUUUUUAUGCAAUUCUGAAUUUAUGGAAGCAGAAGAACUGAUUAUGUGAAUUAAAUAUCUAAUCCCAUGUGUAGGUGCUAUCUAACUGUUGUGAUUAUUUAUGCGCAUAUAACUUGCAGGUAGAUAACUCUAUAGUAUGAAGACUUAAAAAUACGAGUGCAUGUCAUUGGUGUUUUGAAUCCAUCUUCCAUCACUUCUAAUACUUUUGUAUUACAUAAUACUAUUUUUUCAGCAUUUGAUUGACAUAUCGAUGGUAUUUGUAAUAAAUUUCUUUCUUUAAAUUCUUUACCAGGAAAUAUGUUGAAGCACCGAAUGUAUUCCAUUUGCAGUUAGUAUUGUCCCCAGUUCUGCUUGAUUUGAUUUUUAUUUCCCAUCAGUUUUGUGUUUUGUCAGAGAAUGGUUUCUCUUUACCUGUGGUAGUCCCUGUACUCAGGUAAAUCCUUUUGCAUCAUUUCACUAUUGGUUUUGUUGUAAUUGUAUUAGAUUUCCGCCAUGGACGCCGCCUCGCUCAUGGGCUCCUCCUCCACCGACGCACGCACCGACGGGGAGCACCGGAUGGGCAUCACCAUCAUGGGCGUCUGCUACGACGGCGGCGUCCUCGCCGCUGACACUCAGGACCAGCACCGGUACCCCCCCCCCUCGCGGAUCCAACAGCAGCGGCUAGGUCAGGGUCGGAGAUGGCGCAUCGGCCAUCCGAUUCCGCCGGUCGUAGAUCAAACAGAGGGCGUGAUAAAGUCCAGCAGAAGUGGUGGCCGGGAUUUUUACUGUUAAUUCGAUCUGCAAAACAGUGAUCAAUAUAGUAUAUGUGCAGUAAAAUAGACAUGUUGCUGAUAGUGUUGUAGUAGUGUGUGAUUUGGUUGCAUAGUUUUCUAAUGGAAACAAGUGAAAAACUCUUUGAUUUUCUGAUUUCUUUAUGCUUGCAGAGAGGUUCCACGACUUCGGUUUGGCUAUCAUCAAAAUUGGAGGAGAGCCCGAUGCAUUGGAGAGCAUCAUCCGCGAGUUCCACAGGAUCGAAUUGAGCGAAGUAGCAUUUCUGGUAAAAUGGAUAGAUAGGGGUCUCUAACAGAUGUUACCAUAUGUUAUUGAAUCUCAAGAUAGGCAAGUAUCUCUGACAGAUGUUAGCAUAUAUUCUUGCAUCUCGAGAUGAUAUUGGAUAGCUUGCGUGUGCAUAUUUCUCAAGGAUAAUUGAUUUAUGUGAUAUGGCUGCAGUCAUGCUUGCAUUAGCAUCAAUUAAUAUUAUGUGACUGUUCUUUUU